rnacentral:rRNA from 1 species
UACGGGGGGGGCAAGCGUUGUUCGGAAUUACUGGGCGUCAAGGGCGUGUGGGCGGCUUUUCAAGUCGGGCGUGAAAUCUCCGGGCUUAACCUGGAAGCGUCGUUCGAUACUGUUGAGCUAGAGAGCUGUAGAGGAGACUGGAAUUUACGGUGUAGCAGUGAAAUGCGUAGAUAUCGUAAGGAACGCCAGUGGCGAAAGCGAGUCUCUGGGCAGCAUCUGACACUGAGGCACGAAGGCCAGGGGAGCAAACGGG